GACAGAGGGGGCAAGCGUUGCUCGGAAUUACUGGGCGUAAAGGGCGCGUAGGCGGGAUGGCAAGUCGGUCGUGAGAUCCCUCGGCUCAACCGAGGAACGUCGAUCGAUACUGCUGUUCUUGAGGAUUGCAGAGGAGACUGGAAUUCCCGGUGUAGCGGUGAAAUGUGUAGAGAUCGGGAGGAACACCGGUGGCGAAGGCGGGU
rnacentral:rRNA from 1 species